ACUCAUUUAUAAAAAUAAGCUACAAAUAGAAAAACAAAAUUCAUAUAAGUAGAAUCUCCCAAAAACUAAAAGCAUUGUCGAAUUGAGUUACAAACUAAUAAUAAUUUCAUCAAAGUUUGUAAACCAAAGAUUGUCCUAAUAUCAAAAAGUUUCCAAUAAAACACUCCAACUGAAUUCUCCCCUGGAAAUAAUUAAAAUUUUCAAGUUAGUCAAUAAGAAAAAACAGCCAUCAAUCAUAAUAAGAAGCAACAGCAAAUUACACUAAAAAAAUGGCAGAAAAAAGCACCAAAACAACAAAUAUAAACAAGAAACAACAAUUAAAAAAAACCCAAAAAUGGCAUAAAAAGAUGCUCAAAGCAGCAAUAAAUUUAUAAAAAAUACCCUAAAAUAGCAGUGAAAAGUGCUUUAAAAAGCAUUAAAAAAUCCAAAAACAAUAGUAAACAUGCCUAGAAACAGUAGAAAAAACCCCCUAAAAUAGCAAGAAAACUGCCUAAAACUAGAAAAAAAAUCUAACAGCAAAAUCUUCCAUUGCCAGAUAAAGCUACGAAAGAAAAGAAAUAAAAUUCAUAAAGAGUCAAAGCUAACAUACUGACCACUUGCUAGAAAUUAAGCUAUAAAUCCCAAAUUUUUACACAAAUUAGUAUCUGAAACAAGAUUGGUUUGAUAUAUGAUAGUCAAGUAAAAUACCUAUAAAGUAGUACAAAUUCAGCAAACCUAAUGGCUUCACUCCACUGAUUUUCUUAAGACUCCAGUGAUGAGAAGCUGCCAACAGAAUGAUAAAUUGAGGUUUGACAGGAAGCACACAAACUAAACAAGAUACAUAACAACUUUGUUAUCCAUGUUACACCCUAGAACCAUUUCUAGGAAUAUUUGUUAGAAUAGCCACCAUAACAGUUGAUGAGCAACAUAAAACAGAGACAACAACAAAACCAGCAACCUGCAAAGUGCCAAUUCUUCCAUAAUUAAAUCAGAUACACAAUAGAAAUAAUUUACUAUUAAAAUCCCAAAUUCAUUUUAUCUUCUUCCUGCAUUUUCUCAUCAAUCAAACAUAAAAGAGAGCUCCUAUCGACACAUGCAAACAGCACCCACCAUCUUGUCGCAUUCAAACACAACCCAAGAUCACAAAAGUUAAUUUUCUAGAUUUAGUUAACCAAAGAAAAUAUACCAUCAACUGGAUCACCUUAUAAAUCAAAUACAAUUCCACAAUAUUACCAACCUCCCAAAAAAAAAAGGCACAAACUUUAAAAUGAAAACAACAACACCAUGAAAAAUAAGCAAAAGUGGGUAUUUAAAUCAAACAUGAUAGAAUGCAACAAAAGCAAAAAAGCUUUCGAUAGAAGCCAAAGCUAGAUGGGGUACAAGCAAGCUAGGAGGUACCAAUUAAAGAUGCUUCAUUCAAGAACAGAAAAGCUACCAGAAUGAUAAAAGUAGAAAAAAUGAAACAAUAAACAGAAAAUUGGGUGAAAGCUGCAACAAUAGUUUCAAUCACUUAACAGUACCAGCAAACUUAUAGUAAACUUUAAGAACUAGAUGUUUAAGCCACAGAUAAUGGGGACGUACCCAUGAGGAUAAAGACACAAGCGUGAGACCAGUAAAGCCGCCCAUCCUUAACUUGUGCAGGAAACAAAGUCGAAUGAAAAAGGAGGCAACGACGGUAGCGACGAAAACAGCUGGAUCGGAAGCGAACAGCUCAAGAUGAAAGCAACAAGUUAAUGGAUUGGAUUGUGUGCGCGAGAUGUGGCUUCGAUUUUAUUUGAUUAGUCAAGAAAUCGAAGAGAGAAAUUUGAGAGAAAUUUGUGAUUUCUGAGAGAGAGGCAAGAAAUUGAGAGAGAUUGGGCACGGUUGAAACACCUAAAUUAUAAAAAUAUAAAUUUUGCAGCCUUUGGGAACUGGUUGCUUCGGUUGCCCUUUUUUUGUUUUUUUUUUUAUUUCUUUUCAAUGUCAGCCGUUGGAUUCAUUUUACUUGAAUCCAAC
rnacentral:lncRNA from 1 species